rnacentral:pre_miRNA from 1 species
AACAUUCCUCUACAUGAGGACAUAGAUCCACAGAACAUUUCUCUACAUGAGGACAAAUGUUCUGUGGAUCUAUGUCCUCAUGUAGACAAAUGUU